GGGGUUGUAGCUCAGUGGUAGAGCGCUCGCUUCGCAUGCGAGAGGUCAAGGGUUCGAUCCCCUUCAACUCCA
rnacentral:tRNA from 6 species